CGAAGUCUUCGGACUUAGUGGCGGACGGGUGAGUAACACGUUGGUACCUACCCCGAAGUGGGGAAUAACUGCCCGAAAGGGUGGCUAAUACCGCAUAAUCCCACAAGGGUAAAGCAGUAAUGCGCUUCGGGAGGGGCCUGCGUCCCAUUAGCUUGUUGGUAGUGUAAUGGACUACCAAGGCGACGAUGGGUAGCUGGAUCGAGAGGUUGACCAGCCACACUGGGACUGAGACACGGCCCAG
rnacentral:rRNA from 1 species